rnacentral:rRNA from 1 species
CGCUGUCACUCCUACGGGAGGCAGCAGUGGGGAAUAUUGCACAAUGGGGGAAACCCUGAUGCAGCCAUGCCGCGUGUGUGAAGAAGGCCUUCGGGUUGUAAAGCACUUUCAGUAGGGAGGAAGGUAGUGUAGUUAACACCUGCAUUAUUUGACGUUACCUACAGAAGAAGCACCGGCUAACUCCGUGCCAGCAGCCGCGGUAAUACGGAGGGUGCGAGCGUUAAUCGGAAUUACUGGGCGUAAAGCGCAUGCAGGCGGCCUGUUAAGUCAGAUGUGAAAGCCCCGGGGCUUAACCUCGGAAUUGCAUUUGAAACUGGCAGGCUAGAGUCUUGUAGAGGGGGUAGAAUUUCAGGUGUAGCGGUGAAAUGCGUAGAGAUCUGAAGGAAUACCAGUGGCGAAGGCGGCCCCCUGGACAAAGACUGACGCUCAGAUGCGAAAGCGUGGGGAGCAAACAGGAUUAGAUACCCUGGUAG